CAUGCAAGUCGAGGGGAAACGGCAUCAAGCGCUUGCGCCUGAUGGACGUCGACCGGCGCACGGGUGAGUAACGCGUAUCCAACCUGCCCCACACUAAGGGAUAACCCGCAGAAAUGUGGACUAAUACCUUAUAUUUUCCACCAAGGGCAUCGUCGAUGGAACAAAGAUUUAUCGGUAUGGGAUGGGGAUGCGCCCGAUUAGGUUGUUGGCGGGGUAACGGCCCACCAAGCCUUCGAUCGGUAGGGGUUCUGAGAGGAAGGUCCCCCACAUAGGAACUGAGACACGGUCCUAACUCCUACGGGAGGCAGCAGUGAGGAAUAUUGGUCAAUGGGCGUGAGCCUGAACCAGCCAAGUAGCGUGCAGGAAGACGGCCCUAUGGGUUG
rnacentral:rRNA from 1 species